GCUUGUCUCAAAGAUUAAGCCGGAAUAAUAUUUGCGCGAAACGGGAAUUUGGCCGAAAGGCCUUCCCUGCGGAUCGGCGUUCCGCGAAAGGAUAUUCAGCGCCUGAAUCGGGCGUCAGGCCCAGUGCAUCUGCACCCGGUGCGCCGCGGCCCAAUGGAUGGCGCGGAUGGCGUCGAUGACGGCCUCGGUCGCCGCGCGGGUUCCCAGUUCGCCGCCCAGGUCGGCCGUGACCGCGCCCGCCGCCAGGACCGCCGCGACGGCCGCCUCGAUGGAAUCCGCCUCGUCUUCCAGCUUCAGGCUGUGACGCAACAGCAGGGCCGCCGACAGGAUGGUCCCGACCGGAUUGGCCAGAUCCUGGCCCGCGAUGUCCGGCGCCGAGCCGUGGAUCGGCUCGAACAGGCCCGGGCCCUCCGCGCCCAGCGAGGCGGAAGGCAGCAGG
rnacentral:rRNA from 1 species